rnacentral:rRNA from 1 species
GUGAGGGAAAGGCGAAAAGAACCCCUGUGAGGGGAGUGAAAUAGAACCUGAAACCGUGUACGUACAAGCAGUAGGAGCCUACUUGUUAGGUGACUGCGUACCUUUUGUAUAAUGGGUCAGCGACUUAUAUUUUGUAGCGAGGUUAACCGAUUAGGGUAGCCGUAGGGAAACCGAGUCUUAACUGGGCGAAUAGUUGCAAGGUAUAGACCCGAAACCCGGUGAUCUAGCCAUGGGCAGGUUGAAGGUGCGGUAACACGCACUGGAGGACCGAACCCACGUCUGUUGAAAAA